CUUCGGUGUAAAGACAAAGUUAGAAGAGAGCACAAGACACUCCAACAAAUGAUGUUGAACUGCACUAAAGAUUCCAGCACAAAGCUCACACUGCGCUUGGAUUCUCUCUUAAUGCUCAAGAUUUGGGCGAAUUGAGACAUUAACCAACCAAUAUCUCCUACUUUUGACAACCUGGUCGGGGGGCGGCACUUCCAAUAUUAAAGCUCAUGGGAGGAGAAGAGUACGAAAAACAAACAGCCGAUUUAAAAGUUUGGUAUCAAUCUGAUCUUUUCCUGAAUUGGGUCUGCUCUUCUACCAUUGGAUUGGAAAUGGUGUUAGUGGUGGGUGGUGUGCAUUAAAGGAAGUGGAUAGCAACGUCCUCCCUUCAUUGAAGUGCUUAUUGGCUGAUUUAUUAUACCAGUUAUGUUUAUUGAUGCCGAUCAUAUCCAUGUUUCCACAGUGUCGCCAUCGACCUUCAAGAGAGGAGGAAUUACAGGGUCAUUAUUUGACUUUUUAACAUUGAUUGCUAGCCAUCCAAUUUGACUUGUUCACCAUCGUGCUUGUUAUGCGAGGCAAAGCAUCUUCAUCCGGCUGCUUAAAGGCAAAGAUGCUGCUGCUGAUAAUAUAUUCCUACAAGAUGGGAUAGAGACGCCUCAUCUUAAGUAAGUUGAGAAUGUUAUUAGGUUAUUCUUAAAAUAUUUCUUCCCUUUUCACGUUUAGUUGGGUACAAAAGCAUUUGAUCUGGUUAAAUUAUGUCAUAAUUAUUGAGAAAAAUCAUGCUGGGUCCCAUUUU